rnacentral:lncRNA from 1 species
UUGCUCUUCCAGUUAGCCUCCUCUGACUGAAGUCCAAGGUGAAAUUGAAUGAACAUGACUUGCAUAUCCUGUAAAUAACAAUAACACAUCUGAGCAGAUUUUGGCUCUUUUUCCUGGCACUAAAUUUAAGCAGUAAUGUUCCUGACCUGUCCCUAGUGCGGCUCGUGCCAGAGCUCGCUGCCUCUACUGUGUUAUUUCCUCCUUUCCUGGCUGGCAGACAGGGCCUUGCUGGUUUUGGCGGCUCGUCACUCAAUCCAGUUGGCAGUGUCUAGAAAAGUUCAGGACACACCAACUCAUGUCGAGUCUCACCCUCCCACAAACCCUCCCCUUGCUCAGCCUAUCCAUGACCAUCCUGGGGUUGAUGAAUUGUUGCACAGUUUCGCUGGCAGAAUGAUCGUCACUUCCUUUGCAUGUAAGUGAAGAAAACAAAGACUUUUCCUGGCAGUGUUUGGAGAAACGCAGCACAGAACUCUCAGCAUAAAUCUCAACUAUGACAUGGGAAAGAAACAACAUGGAAAAACUAUUUCAAAGUCAGUCUUGGCUCCAUUUUUGUCAAAUGUGCUGCUGUUGUAACUUCAUUUUAAACCUAUGUUUUGAUAUCAUAUUUCUCUUACAACUUUCGGUGUUUCAUUUUCACUUACAUUACUACAAUCUCACUUUUCACUCUAUGAAAACUGCCCUCUCUCUUGUAAACAUACCUCAAUUGUUGUGUUAAUGUCAUUGACUGUAGUUUUAAAAGCACAGGGCUGAUUUCACGAGAUUAAACAAGGUUAUGCGCCUUGCUCUUACGUUACUCCCACCUGAAUUAAACAGUCUCAGGUAAAAGCAUCUGGGAACACAUUAUCAAAAUGUCAUGAACUGUUCUUUCAUUUCCCCUGUUAUCAUCAGGUGUACGAAUCUGAACUAAUUUUUUCUCUCCUUCAGAGCAGAUUGAAGACCCUCUCCGCUUUUGGCCAUUGGCUCUAGUGUCAUAAACCCAAUCUUUAUUUCCUCUGUUAUCAUAACAUGCAAUUUGUCGCUGUAAUGAGAGAUCAGAGGCUUUAAUGUGCUGAUUAUGAACCACUUAGCGCAGCUCUGCAGCCAAGCUUGGUUUGGCACCCUGAGGUUUUUUUUUAAUUGCAGAUUGACUCAAACAAUAGUUAUCAGUUGCAGUGUUAUGCCUGACCUUAAUCUUCACUUCUCUCUUUCCCACAUUAGUCUGAAAAUGUCAGCGUUUAGUGCUCACUUUUCAGGGAAAAGGUCAUUGUCUGGAGUAGAUCAUCUCUCUAUUUCAGCUUUGUUUCUGUGUUCAUCAACUGUCCCAAUGCUGAUUUGGAUAAAUGUUGUUUUAGUGCAUCCCUGACCACCUCUUUGACAGAAUGGCUUGAAAAGCCUAAGGUGUAAUUGGGUUUUAAAAGUAGAACCCAGGCCCAUUAAAUUAUGUGCUGCAUGCAGGGGAGCUAAUUGAGUUGAAGCCCUGCUGGCACACUGCAUGUGCACUGGAAACAUUUACCCAACAUUAAGCCCCAAUUAGGCUUUAAGGAUGGGAGAUUUGUUGUUGGAUGAUGGGAAGAGAAGAUACUGAUGCCUGUCAGACUCACAGCAGAGUCUCUCUGGUGAGUAAAAUCUGAGCACUGUUGUACCUCCGUGUUUUGGCAAAUAAAAACUGUAAAGAUUUCUAGAUUUUCUCAUUUGGUUUAACUGCUUUUGUUCUCUCGCUCUGGCUACAGUGCAUUGCGGUCAAACUCAGUCAAAAAGUUUAAAAGUAUGGUUGUGUUUAUGAGUGUGUAUGUGUGUGUGUAGUGCUAUCCACUGCGCAUGCUCCCUCUCAGCUCAGAGGAGCGGCUAAUGCAGUUAUAUAACAGUGAGUGCAGCCGGCGUCUGCUGUGAGCCAAAUGCCAGGACAGUCUGGUUACAUAAGCCUGUCAGAGUCAUAUUGUAGCAGCACGGAGCGCUCGCACCACGGCGUGUCCCUGCACUCCAUCCACCGUUUCCUGCUCUGUCUUUCACCUCCUCCCACUUAGCUGUCUUUCUUUGCUUUUCUCAAAUCUUUGCACCCCCCCCCCCCCUCCCCACCCCGCGCGCGCCUCCUCCUCCUCCUUCUCUCACACUUUCUUUUCCUUCUCUCUUCCUCCCUUCUUCGCUUCUUUGUGGAGCUGUUGUCAACACCAGAAACAAAGCGAUAACGUGCUGGAUGAAGAUGCAUUGGUAGUUCUCAUGGAAAAAAGUACUAAAUGCUGAGGGAGUUAAGUGUAUUCUUCUUCUAUUGUCCUCUCCAUAAUUUCUAAGCAACUUUCCUUCUCCAGGUGACAACAUGAGUGUGGCAGACCACCCCCCAACCUGUGAGCUCUGCUGCACGAGGGCCUUUAGAGCACCUUUACUGUAUCACUCCCACCACCACCACUACCCCCCAGAUCUGAGGAGGUCACCACAUCAGCAGGAAAUCCACUCAUAGCUUUGAGAGUAGUGGUGGGCAUGGCUGUUCUUUUAGAUGUACUGAAUCACUAGAAUCAGUUGACUAAAAAGAUUUGUUCAAAAGAUUCGUUCACCAAAUCACUUAACACUUGGCGGGAGAGGCCUGCGAUCCCGACCUCCUGAACUGAUACACAGCUGAACAAUUCAGGAUUCAGUUCAAUUCAUAGUUUCUGGGACUGGGAGAGUGUUUGGCUGUGUUGCUUUGGCAAAGGUCAUGAUGCUUCAAGUGUACUGUCCUAUGGUAUGCUAUUUAUCAGGUCUGCUCGGCAAAUUGGGCUCAGUGAGUGAUUCGUUCACUGAAUGUUUAGAAGAAUUCAAACUGAACAUGCACCAUUCCCUCGCAAACCGCUGCAAUGAUAGGAUGCUGCAGGUUAAAUGCACUAUUUAUUACAUGCUGUGUCCUAUUGUAUGCAAGUUAUUGUGAUGGUAAUUUAGCAGUAAAAACAAAAAAGAGGAAGUUUUAUCUGACAAAAAUUAUUCCCGAUAGUGUAGCUCUAUGCGUGAUUCGUUCACCAAGUGAUUCAGGCGUCGGUGCAUAUGAUUCCUCGUUCACCGGCUGCUGGCCUGGCAAUGCUGUUUCUCACUUCAGUUGAGCUGAAGUGAGAAACGAAAGAAUCACUUGAGGAAGUGAUUUGGUUCAGUACAUUCACUUAAAAGAUUCGGUUCUUCUUAACGAAUCGUUCGCGAACGGCACAACACUAUUUGAGAGAUGUGUGCAAAGGACUGCAAACACUGCGUCUGUGACCCCUCAGUAGUUCACACAGUCACCAAGGAGAGGUUAAUUGAUUUGCCUCAGAUCCUGACCUCCAUUACAUCUCCCCAGGGUGAGAUGCAGUGUCAGCAUCACUUUAGAUGGGGUUAUUUGCUCUUGCGGUGAAGAAACAAAGAC